UUGGGUGACGAGCGGCGGACGGGUGGGUAAUGCCUGGGGAUCUGCCCGAUAGAGGGGGAUAACUACGGGAAACUGUAGCUAAUACCGCAUAAUGUCUACGGACCAAAGUGGGGGCUCUUCGGACCUCAUGCUAUCGGAUGAACCCAGGUGGGAUUAGCUAGUUGGUGAGGUAAUGGCUCACCAAGGCGACGAUCUCUAACUGGUUUGAGAGAAUGACCAGUCACACUGGAACUGAGACACGGUCCAGACUCCUACGGGAGGCAGCAGUGGGGAAUAUUGCACAAUGGGCGCAAGCCUGAUGCAGCCAUGCCGCGUGUGUGAAGAAGGCCUUCGGGUUGUAAAGCACUUUCAGCGGGGAGGAAGGGUCACUAGUUAAUACCUAGUGGCAUUGACGUUACUCUCAGAAUAAGCACCGGGCUAACUCCGU
rnacentral:rRNA from 1 species